UGGGGAAUAUUGGACAAUGGAGGACACUCUGAUCCAGCAAUUCUGUGUGUGUGAAGAAGGUUUUAGGACUGUAAAACACUUUUAGUAGGGAAGAAAAAAAUGACGGUACCUACAGAAGAAGCAACGGCUAAAUACGUGCCAGCAGCCGCGGUAAUACGUAUGUUGCGAGCGUUAUCCGGAAUUAUUGGGCUUAAAGGGCAUCUAGGCGGUAAGACAAGUUGAAGGUGAAAACCUGUGGCUCAACCAUAGGCUUGCCUACAAAACUGUUGAACUAGAGUACUGGAAAGGUGGGUGGAACUACACGAGUAGAGGUGAAAUUCGUAGAUAUGUGUAGGAAUGCCGAUGAGGAAGAUAACUCACUGGACAGAAACUGACGCUGAAGUGCGAAAGCUAGGGGGGCAAACAGG
rnacentral:rRNA from 1 species